AUGGCCUCCGAGGCCCCGCCGUCGCCGCGGUCCCCGCCGUCCCCGCCGUCCCCGGAGCCCGAGCUGGCCCAGCUGAGGCGGAAGGUGGAGAAGUUGGAAGGCGAGCUGCGGAGCUGCAAGCGGCAGGUGCGGGAGAUCGAGAAGCUGCUGCAUCACACGGAGCGGCUGUACCAGAGCGCGGAGAGCAGCAACCAGGAGCUCCGCAGCCAGGUAGAGGAGCUCAGUAAAAUACUCCAUUGUGGGAGAAAUGAAGACAGUAAGAAGUCUGAUGUAGAAGUACAAACAGAGAACCACCCUCCUUGGUCAAUCUCAGAUUAUUAUUAUCAGACAUACUAUAAGGAUGUUAGUCUUCCAAAUAAAGUGACUGAACUCUCAGUUCAGCAAGAUCAGGAUAUCAAAGCUUCUACUUUAAACUCUGAAGACCAGUCACAAAUAGAUAAUGAUGCUUACACUGGUACUGAUAUAACAGAACAUGCUAAAUGUGCAGAAGAGGACCAUUUUGCCUCAAAUUCCCAGGAGUCAGCAUCUGUAUUAGCAGCAGAAGAUACAUCCUUAGAAGGUUCUUCAUUAGCUGAAAGUUUGAGAGCUGCAGCAGAAGCUGCUGUGUCUCAGACUGGAUUUAGUUAUGAUGAGAACACUGGACUGUAUUUUGAUCACAGCACUGGUUUCUAUUAUGAUUCUGAAAAUCAACUAUAUUAUGAUCCUUCCACUGGAAUAUAUUACUACUGUGAUGUGGAAAGUGGUCGAUACCAAUUUCAUUCUCGAGUCGAUUUGCAACCUUAUCAGACUUGUGGCACAAAACAAAGUAAGGAUAAAAAAUUGAAGAAGAAAAGAAAGGAUCCAGAUUCUUCUUUAGCAAACGAGGAAAAGGAUUUGAAUUCAGAGGAUCAAAAAGCAUCCAGUGUUGAACAUAUAAGCUGCAAUGAGGGAGAAGAUUUUGCAAAUAUGAAGAAGAAGGCUAAAAUAGACGUUCAUUACAAAAACAGUCCCCCCAAAUUUACUGUUUCAGUUAGUGGAAAGACUACAGAAUCUUCUCUUAAUGAAAGCAUUUAUAAUUCAACGUCAUUUAAAGAUGAGAAAAUCAUGGAGACUGAUAGUGAGCCAGAAGAAGGUGAAAUUACAGACUCUCAGACGGAGGACAGUUUCGAUGAAGACAUUACCAGUGAAGACAAUGUAACUGCGGAAGAUUCUGAGGAUGAAGCAGAUGAGGAAAAAAUUUGGCCCCCAUGUAUUAGAGUAAUUGUUAUUAGAUCACCAGUGUUGCAGACAGGAUCACUCUUUAUCAUUACAGCUGUAAACCCUGCUACAAUUGGAAGAGAAAAAGAUAUGGAGCAUACUCUCCGAAUCCCUGAAGUUGGUGUUAGUAAGUUUCAUGCAGAAAUUUAUUUUGACCAUGAAUUACAAAGUUAUGUCCUUGUGGAUCAAGGUAGUCAAAAUGGUACAAUUGUUAAUGGAAAACAGAUUCUUCAGCCUAAAACUAAAUGUGACCCUUAUGUACUUGAGCAUGGUGAUGAAGUGAAAAUUGGAGAGACUGUACUGUCUUUUCACAUCCACCCUGGCAGUGAUACCUGUGAUGGCUGUGAACCAGGACAAGUGCGAGCUCACCUUCGUCUUGAUAAGAAAGAUGAAUGUUUUGUUGGUCCAGCACUAAGUAAGGAGGAAAAAGAGUUGGAAAGGAGAAAAGAAUUAAAGAAAAUACGAGUAAAAUAUGGUUUGCAGAAUACAGACUAUGAAGAUGAAAAGGCAUUGAAGAAUCCAAAAUACAAAGAUAGAGCUGGAAAACGGAGGGAGCAGAUUGGAAGUGAAGGGACUUUCCAAAGAGAUGAUGCUCCUGCAUCUGUUCAUUUUGAAAUUACUGAUAGCAACAAAGGUCGGAAGAUGUUGGAGAAGAUGGGCUGGAAAAAAGGAGAGGGCCUAGGGAAGGACGGUGGAGGAAUGAAAAUUCCGAUCCAGCUUCAGCUUCGGCGAACACAUGCAGGCUUGGGGACCGGCAAACCAUCCUCGAUUGAAGAUGUUCACCUUCUCCAAAACAAGAGCAAAAAGAACUGGGAGAAAGCGCGAGAGAGGUUUGCUGAAAACUUCACAGAAGCUAAAUCUCAAAAAGAUGUCCCAGGGACCGUCCCUUGGGUCAAAGGGACCAUAGAGUGAAGGUCUGGCUUGCCUCCAGCACAAGAACUUGUGGGUGGAAAGGAGCCAACAUCAACCCGAGUGUCAGUAGGCACUUGGCCAGGAUAGCACUGGUGAAGACGUGGGCCAGAAGGGAGGCCUGGGAGGAAGUGCAACUCUUUGGCCGCAGGAGAGACACAGAGAGAGAGGGGCAGAGACACAGGCAAAGGAAGAAGCAGGCUCCAUGCAGGGAGCCCCAUGUGGGACUCCAUCCCAGGACCCCAGGAUCAUGCCCUGAGCUGAAAGCAGACGCUCAACCGCUGAGCCACCCAGGUGUCCCCACGCUGAAGUAUUUAGAGAAGUCUGGAAAGCCAACCCUCCAAAUGUCAGCACAACCCAUAAUUUCAAGUCAGUUAACACCUCCUGGUUGCCCUAAACCAACAAGAAGAGAAUUUCAUGGAUAAAUGGCCCAUCCAGCAGACAUGGAAUAUGAGCCCUGCAGAUGGUCCAAGGAGACUCAGGAGCAAGCGGGUGCAGUAUGGCAUCCUCGUGUCCGGGAUGGGAGUGGCCGCUGUGGGAUUGUUUUGUGGUGUGAUGUAGAAAGACCUACCUGGUUUGCCUGGGACGAAGGAGUUUCUUGGAUGCAGGACUUUCAGUCCAAAAAAGGGGCAGCAGAUUCAGUGCUGGUGAGUGGGAGAGUUGGGAGAGGGGAGCAAGCAGCACCUUCCAUCCCUUACCUCACAUGGCACUUGGGAACCUCUGAGGCAGAGCAACGUCCCUUCAGCCAAGCUCAGGAAAGCUGGUGAAGUGACAACUGGCUGUCCCCAAGAAUGGAAGUUUGAGCACAAGAAUACAGACUGGAGAAGCAGAGGAAUGAGAGAAAAGAUUUGUGACAUCUGCUAAGAAUGUCCCUGCGUACCCAGGGGACACCCAGCACAGGGAGUGAGGCCCCCCUUGGGACUGUUUGCCCAGGGCUCCUGGGGAAUUUUGAGGGAGAAAGGAACACAGUCCCCACGAUGUCAGAGCCCCCACCUGUUUACACUAACCGGUUUCCACCACCCAAGGGGGUAAAUUGAGCUGCAUAUUUGGUGAUGAGGAAGUGAAGUGGAAUGACCCGAGUGAUGACAAAUGAUUUUGUGCCUGAGCCUGGAAAACACUUCAGGUUGGAAGCUCGGGAUCCUGCAGGAUUCAGCGCCUCCCGCACCCCCCCGGUCGCCGGGCCCUCCUCCGAGUCUGUGACCGUCAGAUGGGCCAAGGGUGCCAGGCGGGCCCGGCGGGCUUCCCUGCUCCUUGCUCAGCUGCGGACUCGGGGCCUCGGCCCUACGAGCGGCCUCCCUCCGUGACUUCCCAGGGCCUCAGAUCCAGACGUAGAGCCUCGCAUCUGAGGGCCCCUCCUGCCCUGAAGGGAAGCCCUGCCUGGGUCCCUGCAAUCGGCCACUGUUUUAGCAGGGCCUCCUGUCGCCAGCUUUUCAACCAUAUUUUUCAACCUCUGACCCCAGAGUAAUCUCAACUUCCUUGUACUCGGUUCAGAAGAUGUUUGCUAUUCAGGAUUCUGAUGCCGAAGUGUGAUAAGAGAGGCCUCAGGCCUUCUGAGUUAGUAAACCAACAGAGUCCAAGGAUGUGAAAACUGAGAAGCAGGACAGCCAUGCCCUGAGAGGUGGCACAGCGCCAGCUCCUGUCACCCGAAAUCUUCCAGGAUAUUUAGAAAUGGGUGUUAGUGGGACUUGACUACAUUGCGGAUGUCUUGUUUGUUUUGUUUUUGAAACGAGAGUCUCCCAUAGCACCAACGAAAGCAGAUCUGUGAUCUGUGUUUUAUUGAAUCUACGGUAGUUCCUAUGCUUGACCUGGUUUUGCUUUCUGCAAAUUUUCUCAGUCAGUUUAGGUAAAACUGGCCCAGAGUAAGCUUUUGUGUAGAAACACAGCGUGGGAAAGCAGAACAUCUUCUAAGCUGCCUUGGGAUCUCACCCCUAACUGGCCUACCUGUGUGAGAAUUGCUUGAGGAGGAAGGGGCUGUCUUCACGUGCAGCAGCUGGGGCCAGGCCUUCCCCAUUCCAUUUGCAACAGCCCACCUUAGACCAGUGCCGGAAGCCUAUGUACGUCUUAUCAGCCCAGGUCACAUGCUUCCCCUUGGCAUGGGUGAUUAUAUCAAGUGUAGGGGUGGAGGUGAGGUCCAAGGGCAGAGGAGGUGUGAACUAGGCAUGGGCCAUUUCCAUCAGUCAGAAAACACAGCAGUAAUACAAAGCUGCAGGAAAUCCAAGUUUGGUGGCAAGGUAACACCAAGUGGACUCCACAGGCUCAAGGCAUAACUGGACACACUCUAGGUUUUAUACUGGGAUGCUGGUGUCACUUAGAAGUCCCUUUCCCAAGGCUCAGUAUAAGGUUGUUUGGGACAAGUGCAUGAAAGUUGUUGACAGAUGGUCCAGGGUGCAAAUGAUUCCUUAUUAGCUCUUGAUCUUGGAAAGGUACUUAGGAUUUCUAGGCCUCUGUUACCACAUCUGUAAAAGGGAGGUACUGAGUGUGUCACAGAGAGUUAACAUGAGGGUUGAAUGAGAUAAGGAAAACAAAGCAUGUCUGCCGCAUUUAACACAUAGAGACUUCCUCCGUGGACUGGAGAUCAGAGAACCCCACAGAAGGCCUGCUUGGAAGUCUUAGCCCAGCCAAGUGAUUCCACCCUCUGAGUGUUCUUUGUGACAGAUGCAAAGGUUGAGAAUCCAUAUGCUGACUGAACAGAUAUGAUUGUGCUGAUUAAGAUUGAGGUGAAGAGACAAGUGAGCCCCUUGACUCAGCAGCACAGUGUGGAGAGAGAAUUGUCUUUGUGAACCAGUGUUGGAAGAGCAGAGCUGAGGAACACAGAAAUGUGGCUGGCCUGAUCCUUGCCAUGCUGUCCAAGGUAGAGCUGGGUCAGGUGGGACUGCCUCUGCCAGGACUGUCUCUGCCUCAAGUCUGCCUUGAAGGUUCAUGUGAACUGGGUUUUGUCUUGGGGUUCAGGGAGGGAACAUUGAGGUAUGGCAUACGGUCCGUAGUACACCUUACCCAGGACAAGACUAUAGCCCCUUUUUCCAACCUCCAACACUCAUGGUGGCUUCCAGCUGCCAGCUGCCCACAAUCCUCUGGGUGUUACUGUGUAAGGUGAAGACUCAACUAGGAAAGCAUUGAAUGACACUCUUGUCAAGAGGGAUCUCAUAGAGCUGUUCCAUUGGCCAUCAGGAAAUAUCUAUAUUAAAAAUUUUUGGGGGGGAAUUGAAUUCCAAAUAUCUGUCUAACCAAGCCUAGGUAGAAAGUGAAUCUUGAUUCCAUAUUAUACACAUUAGGCCUGAGAAAGAAGAUUGAGUCCUUGGGUUAAUGGGGACAGUGAGCCUUCUGUGUGGGCUACAGAGUAGUUCUGAGUAAAAAGCAAGAAUGAUCAGAACACACUGAGAAUCUGAAAAUAGAAUAUAGCUGAGAAUUCUGCUCUCCUCCUUCACUAAAUUAUUUACCCAAGUUACUGAUAAUUAAUUAAUUGCCUGAAUCCCCAUCCCUGUCCCUACCCCCUAUUUAUACAUGUGGUUUCUCAGCAAUAGACAGGGAAGGAAGUCUGUAACACAGGGAAUCGUAAGUGGUCUUUAGAUGGUGAAUAAAUGAGAUUUGGCUGUG